rnacentral:tRNA from 1 species
UUUAGCUUAGUGGUAGAGCGUCUGCUUCGUAAGCAGAAGGUCGUCAGUUCAAUCCUGGCAAG